ensembl:snRNA U6 U6 spliceosomal RNA
UCACUUCCACAGUGGGUAUACUAUAAUUGGAAUAAUAAGAUUAGCAUGACCCCAGUCAAUCAUGACAUGCAAAUUCCUGAAGUGUUCUAUAGUUUU